GUGGCCGUAGCUCAAUCGGUUAGAGCACCAGGUUGUGGUCCUGGGGGUUGGGGGUUCAAGUCCCCUCGGCCACCCCA
rnacentral:tRNA from 1 species